UACGUAGGUGGCAAGCGUUGUCCGGAAUUAUUGGGCGUAAAGCGCGCGCAGGCGGUCCUUUAAGUCUGAUGUGAAAGCCCACGGCUCAACCGUGGAGGGUCAUUGGAAACUGGGGGACUUGAGUACAGAAGAGAAGAGUGGAAUUCCACGUGUAGCGGUGAAAUGCGUAGAGAUGUGGAGGAACACCAGUGGCGAAGGCGACUCUUUGGUCUGUAACUGACGCCUGAGGCGCGAAAGCGUGGGGAGCAAACAGG
rnacentral:rRNA from 1 species